GCUUGAGAUAAAUGUUUGUACUUUUUUGUGUAUAUAUAUAGUGAUUGAUUUUUGUCAAGGAUCUAACAAAAUCUCCAUCUUUUUUUGUAUUUUCUUCAACGAAGGCAAUAUUCUCGAUUGCCCAAUCAAUAUUCAUUCUCUGCUUCAGCAAUGGAGUCUUUGACCAGAAGAAGAACACAACUGGCGAUCUUCUUGGCAUUCCUGUUUCUCUUCUUCAUUAGCUUAAACCUCUCACUUACCAUAAAUUCAGCUCCAUAUGAUAGUCAUUUGAGGAAGUUGCUAGCAAGACCACCGCGAACCGCAAACCGGCCUCCUACACCUAUGUCAAAUCCUAAUAAACAUUUUGAAGUUCCUCCAGGACCUCCUCCUCCACAAGAUGAUGGGACGAGGUGAUGAUAAUGUCGACGGACGAUGUUCUUUCUGAUCUCAUCACACACACAGAUAUGAAGUAUGUUGACAGACCAUGUGUCGAAGACCAAGAAUAAUACAACCCGGAUGAGUAUGAGAGUUGUGUAAACUGAAGUUAUUGUUCCGAAGAUUUUAACAUGUAGAAGAAAAUAAUAAUGGCGUGCUGCAAUGAAAUCACGCCAUUAUCAUUUAGGAAAAGUUUAGUCAAACUUUAAAAAUUCAUAAAAGUAGGCUGACCGAUCGUUUAAUUAUUAUUUUCUUCAAGUUAUUUGGGCAUCGGAGGCCACUCCUUGGUCCCCACACGCCAAUUACUGGGACCCAAUCUUGGGAAAAUUUGGUGAUUUGGUUUGCGAAGUUGUUGUUUGGGUAGCGUGCUCAUAGUUAAAUGAACCGAAGGCUUUGGCUGGAACCUGGUUUGCUCAUCUUGCAGAUUUGCAAGCACACUUUGGCACCGCGUCUUAGCCUGCUCAUGCAUAAAGGAUAGAACUCAAAAGAAAUUUACCGAAGUGUAUGAUAAGUUCCUUAUUCAAAAGCUCUGGCGAUCUCUUCUAAGAACUAGUACAAACACUAAUAGACGUUGUUUGGAUAGCACAUCAGAAGUAAAUUUUCGACUUCUAAAAAGUUGAAAAGUCAGAAGUUAGUUUGGCUGUCAGAUUUCAAAACAACUUUCAGAAAUCAAAAAGUUAACUUUUUAUGAAGCAAAAUAAUGUUGUUUCUGACUUCGACUUUUGAAGAAGCAGAAGUCAAAAGAAGAUUUGUAUACAAACGCGCUAUAAAAUGAGGACUAGUUGGAUACCUUUGAGCUUCAAGUAAUCGUUGAAGCCGUAAAAAUUGUAGGAAACUUUUGUGUUUUACAAUUCAUUUGGCGGUUUCCUUUUGGGAUAAAUAUAUAUCAUUUUGACAA